rnacentral:rRNA from 1 species
GAGUUUGAUCAUGGCUCAGAUUGAACGCUGGCGGCAUGCCUUACACAUGCAAGUCGAACGGCAGCACGGGAGCUUGCUCCUGGUGGCGAGUGGCGAACGGGUGAGUAAUGCAUCGGAACGUAUCCUGGAGUGGGGGAUAACGUAGCGAAAGUUACGCUAAUACCGCAUAUUCUGUGAGCAGGAAAGCGGGGGGACCUUCGGGCCUCGCGCUCUUGGAGCGGCCGAUGUCGGAUUAGCUAGUUGGUGAGGUAAAGGCUCACCAAGGCGACGAUCCGUAGCAGGUCUGAGAGGAUGAUCUGCCACACUGGAACUGAGACACGGUCCAGACUCCUACGGGAGGCAGCAGUGGGGAAUUUUGGACAAUGGGGGCAACCCUGAUCCAGCCAUGCCGCGUGAGUGAAGAAGGCC